AAAGAGCUCUUGUAAACGCAAAGUCUGAUUACACUUGUAAAUUGGGAGAAUUCUUAUUGAAUUGAAAUAACACUAAUGACUGUUAAAUAGCCUUACAAUGAAAUAGGAAAAAAAAAACAACAACCCACGAUUUUACAUGGCCUAGAAUCCCUCCUAUACUUGAGGGACAAGAUUGUUUUUCCCUUUCUGACUUGUCAUACACCAACAUUCUAGGCCAUGUAAAUUAUUUUUAAAUUAUGUGCUUCUUGAGGUCGUGGAUCCUUGUUUCCCCGUUGAGUAUUUGACUUAGAGAGUUAAAAAUAGGGAUGCCAACUACUACGCAUGCAAUUACGGCACCAAUACGAGAGAGCAGAGAAGCAACAACGGUACCAUCGUUGCCAAACAAAAAAUAGUUAACCAUACUUUGCCUGGGCCGCAUGGGUUCCACUGCUAUCAGGGCUGCAUAAAAUGCCGCCAACAUGCCAGCAAUGGAAUAACUAAUAAGACUCGUAGGUGUGGGUAGAUGGGUUGACAGGACAGAUAUAGGACUGUAUUCGUUAAAUAUCGCCGACACUGAGAGAGCGAAGCAAAGCGUGUUAAAAAACAUAAAUACUUUGUAAGCUCCUUUUUUUGUUAAAACUGGUGUUCCAUCGUCUGUAAACCCUCCAGGCGGGUUCAAAACGGCCGAAAAUGUAACGGUUGCAAUGACCGUCGCUACCAGAAGUUUCGAAUCAUUUCUAUUGAAGGUCUGAGCCAAAUAAGCCUGCAAGUUUUCUCUCGUAUUUUUAGUAUUGACCGGUGUCUCAGACGUACUGCUUUCCCCUUGGGAUCCAAAUUUCUUGAACUCCUGCUUGAUUUUUUGUUGAUAAUAUGGCACGGUAACGACAACGUCUCUUGCCAGGCAGUUCAAAACAUUGCGACUUUUUACGAUUUCCUAAAACAUAAAUAAAGUACUACACUUUUAGUAAACAUAUACAGGACUUAAGAACAAUAAGGUAACGAAUUUGGAUUUAGAUAUGUUCUGCGUUUGAUUCUAUCCAAUAUAAGAAAAUAAAAUAGAGAGUUCAAAGUUGAAAUCCAAGGGAAAUAAAUAAAAGAUUCUUCCCGUGUUCUCGGCGAGCAAAAUGUCGCUAACUUGCAAAAAUUCUUUAUUGAUAGCAGUUCUGUUCAACCUCCUGUCUCUCCUUAAAAUAGCAACGAUUUCACUAUUUUCAUGAAUAGCAGCUAGAUGCCAAGGAGUGUUUCCAUCAUUAUCUGCUUCGUUUAUAAGUCUCGCAAGCCUAGGCGUCUUCAAAACGUACACUUCACAACAUUUAUCUUUUCGCCUAAAACUGCUGCAUGUAGAGCUGUUUGGCCCUUGUGAUUGACACAAUCACAAAUAUCAGGACAACGUCCGAUCAACUCUUCAAUUAUUUGGGUGUGCCCUGCAUAUGCCGCGACGUGGAGAGCUGACAUGCCAAGCUCGUCUUUGAUGUAACAAGCAAAUUUGAAAGUUUUGCAAUUUUGAAUCAGUAGUUGAGCUGCUUUAAGGUUCCCUCUCAGUGAUGCGUAGUGUAAUGGAGUCCACCCUAUUUCAUCACGAACUUCGACCAUCCCAGGAUUUUUGGUAACCAUAGAUUGCACAAUUCCUAAAAUGUUGGUAUAGAAAAAUUAGAAAUUGUGUUGCGGGAAUCAAGUAUAUAUAUGAAAAUAAGGCAUACCAAGUAACGAGUCCCUUAAGAAGGAUCUUGCGCAACGGUAGCUGGACUGAGAUGCAUAUCUCAAUCAUUAAGGAUAUAUUAUCGACUGUCAAUAUGUCAUACUCGAUAACUAAGUUGAUUAUACAGUUAUAUGUUGAUGGGAUUCCGUGCAUAAGAAGGGUCUAGUACGGUAGUACCAAGCAAUGUCAUGAAGUUAAUUACCUUUCUUGGCGAAGGGUAUACGAGUGGCUGCUGCGUGCAAAGCGGUCACACCAUUUGUUCCCUGAAAAGAAAGAGAUUCAUGAUCCGGAGUCUUUUUUAAAAUAUAAUCAGCAAUGCUGGUAGACCCGGCUCUAACAGCUAGGAACAGGGGUGACUCCUUGGUGCUGUAAAAUGAACAACACAAUUCAGGAUCAGCACUCAGCAAAAUCUUCGCUACUCCAGCAUGAUUGUAUCGAACAGCAACAUGCAGUGCUGUAUCCAUUUCCAAAUUAGGCAUUCGGAGUAGCUUUUUGUAAGCUUCACCGUCAGUUGGUUCCUUUUCUGGAUCAAGAUCAACCACUUCCAUAGGUUCCGCUUUUAUGUGCUCAAUGAGGAACGUUACUACUUCACCGCAACCUACUCUCGCGGCAACAUGUAGAGGAGUUUCGCCAUUCUUGUUGGUGGCCCAAAACCGGGGAGAUUCGGGAAUUUUUUUCACUUUUUUGAAGAAGUUUAUUUGCUUGAAUUCAGCUGCAAUGUGAAGAAUAUUGUUCUCUUUAGGUGUUUUCUGAGAGAGAUCAGCUGUUAGAAGUCCUUCCAAGAAGCCAACAUCACCAGUUGCAGCUGCUUCAUACAGAGAAGGAUUCAUGCUUCCACCUCUCUCUCAGAUUUCCUAAAAAGUAUAACGUUGAAAUAAGAACACAAAUGCAAAUUGCAAUGGAGGAUUUGUGAACCAUAUAUAGGUCACUUACAGGAGGUUGCCAAUUGCAUGCCAAGUAGGCAAGUAGCCAUGCCAAGUAGGCAAUGCCUACUACCAUUCAAAACACUUGUGCCGUCCACCAUUCAAAACACUUUGUUUAUUUUUUCUUCUCUUCUUGUCAGUAACCCAUUCAAAACUUUUAUUUUUUAUAUUAUUUUUCUUUCUUUUUCCCACAUGGUGCCGGGCACCAUUCAAAACUCUUUGUUUAUAUUAUUUUUUAUCCUUUUCGGUGUCAGAAAACAUGUGCUUGUGUUUAUCUCCUAACAUUUUUUAAUCUUAGAUUUUUGUCCACUACAAACCUUAUCCAAAGCAGAUGAGAGACGUGAGGCAGGGAAGGACAAAACAGACUUCUUGCUGUAGCAAAGUGUGAACAGUACGGAACCAAAGCAGAAACCAAGUGCAUUCCCGCUCUUUAACUGUUGGUGAACAGUACACGCUCUCACAUAAUGAACAGUGCCAAUCAACUGGACUUUAGCAUGUAUAAAUAUAUAUACACACACAUAUAUAUUAUGGUUGUUGUAUUUUAUAGUUAAAUUUUAUUAAUAAUUUAAAAAAUUAAAAUCAUCGAAAUAAUUUUUUUUUAACGUAUCAAAACGAUUUACCAACGUGUCAUCCUCGGAUAAACUUGUUAAGGAUACAUUAUUAAUAAGUUCUUAUCGUGUAAUCCAAUAACAACCUAAUUAAUUAUUGUGUUGAUCCAAAAUUCUUUAUUUUUAUGUUUAUGUGUCGUGUUAACAAAUCAUGUAAAAAAAAUGUCCGGUUUACUUUUCAACUUUAAAUUAUUAAUUCGUUCAAUGUUGGUGUCUUUGUCUUUUGGGUUAAAAAAUGCACUGUCAACUAUCAUUGUCAUCGAAUAGUCUGUCAGUCUUCCAAGGAAACUUGUAAGUAUUUUCGUCCGGAAAACUGCCAAAACCAAGAUCACAAUUUCUGUCAAAGUAUUCCAUAAACGUGAAUAAUUAGUGAAUUAAUGCGUUAUAUGAAAAUGCAUACAUUUACUAUUUGGUCUUGGCAGAAAUUGUGAUGCAAUUUCUGGAACGAGAAUUCUCUCCGAAUUCUCUUUGUGAGGAUUCCGAAAAUUCUUCAAUCAUGUCUGUUCAUCAUAUAUGAUAUGAUCAUUUUUUGUCAGGUAUUAUUUGUAUUUAAUUUUAAAUAAAAAAAUUAAAAUACUUUCUGACAGCACGAUAUAUGAUAAACGGAUACGAUUAAAAGAUAUAUGGAAUCUUCACAAAGAAGAUUAAAAAAGAAUCCUCAUUCCGAUUUCUGAAUGGACUUGUCAAAGUCCCGUGUUGUCUCCUACCAUGAAAUUCAAACAUGUCACAUGGGCUCAACGCACUUAGCUUAAACUAGAAAAUGUGUGCGUGCUUUGUUGCGGACAUUGAAUGUAUUAUCCACAGACACACGUGAAUAAUUUCCACACAAAGUAACUAAAAAGAUGGGGUAUUACCUAAGAACCAAUGAAGUGAAACUUUGCUUGCUAUGUAUGGAUAUGCAUGCUAUAAGAAACCAUUCAUUUGUAGAUCAUAUUGCGUCAUCAGUAUUAUACUCAUACUCUCAGGUGAUCAGCCUACUACAUGAGAAAAACACAGAAAAGGCAAAUCACAAAAGUAGAAGACAACAUUUGAGCAUCUAGCAAGAAUAGUUAGUUUUUGAAAAAAUUGCUAAACAGUCUUACAAAUUCAAUUGUUAAAUGUUACACUAUGACCUAAGAUAAAAAUAAAGUAUAGGAAACUUUAACGAAAAAUCACAUUUUUACACUAAAAAGUCAAUCCUAAUACUAUUCCCUUUACCCUUUAUUUUGUCUUUAUCGUUAAAACUCAGUUUUCAAAUCAUUUUCAUUAGUUUUCCUUAGUUUUCCUUGAAGUUAUAUAGUUCAUUCACAUAUCAAAACAAAGUGCGAUCAAAGGAAAAUGAUUAAGAAGUUGAAAAUACAAAACUGGAUUAGGCAACCAUAUCUUUUAUCGGUAACUAAACAAAUAAUUUAGAAUUGUACAAACCCGAUUCUAGCUCAUCUACCUCCUCUCAUCCUCAGCUCUGUAUUUCAAAGGCUGAGUAGCCACGUUUGGAGAAGUUAUCAAAUAAUCACCAUCUGAAGAUUGAGAAUAACCUCCAUUCACAUUGCAAAUUUUUUUUUAGAAAAUGGGACAAAUUAACAUAUUUAGAGUUAAUUAUUCUGAUGCAAACAUUCUUAAGAUAAAUUAAGUAGAAAAAAUGUAACGAAUCCAAUGAAAAAACAGAAGGAAAAUGAUUUAAAGAAAAGUUAAACUUUAAAUACAUCACAUUAGUGAUUAAUCAACUAGAUAGUUAGUCUCAAACCAGAGUCUCAAUGAUCUCGCAAUACCAGGGACAUCACUCUCCCUGUUAACUCUCAACUACCUCAACUCCAUCACUCUCCCCCCCAUUGUUUCUAAUUCACCUCUCCUUCGAACUCUUCGACUACAAAUUUAUAUAUAGCAACUUGAACUGUCCAUUUCAAAUCAUAUAUACAUAGGCAGAAAAGCAAAAACUAAAUUCCUGCCGCAUAAAUUAAUUGGUAACCAAACAAAGAAAAAUUCUUGGAGACUGGAACAAAUCCAAUUGAAUUUUCAUGAAACGUAUACUUAAGUGCCCAAAAUUUGAGUUUUACAUCAUAUUAUGUUCUUACAAAAACAGUUUCUCGGCUGCUAGGUAAUUUCUGUGGCUUUUGAUCAAUAGUUGUACUUAUAUACCCAAAAAAAUAAAAUAGUCAAACACAAAUGAAAGAAAGACCUAUCAAAUUAAUAAGAAAUCCAAGUUAGAGUUGUUAAAAUUCACUUUUAUCUAUACAAUUCAAACUUCCACACAUUUGUUCAUACACUUCACCAACUGUCAAACACUGCUAAUUACCAAGAUAGCAAGAUAAUGAAUUCUGUGAACAAAAAAAUGAAAAAUGAUAUGCAAUUUGAACUUACAUGCCAAAGAAGCUCCAUAAGAGUAGUAGCUUCCUACUUAUUGCAUGCAUCAAAAGCAUUGCAACCGCAGAUCCUGAAAAUUAUCAAAAUUCAUCGAGUCAAGAGGCAAUAUCAUAGUUGUGUGAAGGUGAAUAUGCAACCAAUAAUCUAAGAUAUACCUGACAAUUUUGCAAUUCCGUUGUAAUUUCACACAAAAAAAAUAUCAAAUUUUGAUUCAAACAUCAAACAAAAUAAUCCCACCUGUUACAGAUUGGACCAACGAAAUAAAGAAUCUAUUAAUAUGAUUUUCAACCUAACUAUAAAAAGGAGCUUUAUAACUAUCAAUAUAAUUUCAACCCAUCUGAAAAGAAACUGAUUGUGUGUCAUAAAUUCUAUGGGUAAUUUGAUUUUGCAGAUUAAAAAGAAUUGAAGAAUACUAAAAAUUACAAAACCCUAUCACAACAUACCAUCAGCGAUGAAUUAAAUCCAAAUGUAAACUGCAGUUUCUUAUAGAGCAUAUCCAAAAGUAAAUUGCAGUUUCCUAUCUCUCCGAGCAUCUAAACAGAAACUGUAAUUCAAAACUCUGAUUUCAAUAACCCAAAAAGUUUAAAUUGCUUACCGUUCUCUUGACUGUGGAUUACAUUAAGUAUAUGGAGUUUAAAAUUUAAAAACAAAAAGACAAAAAAACAAAAAAACAGAUAACAAAUAGGGAGUAAGAUCAAACAGUGAGUGGUUCAAUUAACCUUUUUCUGUUGGUCGCGUCUGUGAAUCCUUUAAUUUGCAGAAUGAGCUUGGGAACUCUUCCCAAAACUCCCACAAUCAACGCACCUGCGUCAAAAGGGAAAGGAAAAACAGUUGAAUAUUUGAACUGCACCAAACAGAUUGAUUGAUAAAAAAUAAACGAACAUGACACGACCAAUGAAUUUCACCAAACGGGAAGUAAUAAAAUAUUGGACACUGAAUGAGUUGGAAUAAAAACACAACUGCAUUUUCUUAUUCUUCUCCCACAUUCAUGAGGCUUCUUUUUCAUCUUUUUCUCUUCUAAUUUCAAAGAACACAACAAUUAGCACAGCCUGCUAUAAGGUAGAGGAAGCAUAUGAGUCUCCUCAAAAUGGAUGUCCAAGGCUGACCCUUAUGCAGAAGGAAGCAUGGGAAGCAUAAAUGGGAUAUCAAGAGACGAUCUCAAGUAAAUUUGCAACACAAAACCCAACCAGCAACAAUUUGUUCAUGACAUCUUAAAACAUCAAAUUUCAAAACAGGACAUUUAAUGCAAAGAGCUCAAACUAUAAUAAUUGGUGAAUCAAAUAUUUUCUAUUGAAUUUAUCCUUUCAAUUGGUUGGUAUUUUCGUUUAUUCUCGUAUCUUUCAAUUGUCACCCAAAACUAACAUCUGAGAGAGCAUUGCACUUCUUAUCUUUAAAAGCACGAAUGGUGAACUAAAUCAAAGAAUAAGAAUCAGCAAUGAACUAAACAAAAACACACUUUUUACGAACAUUAUUCGCACAAAAAUUAAAACUGUAUUGAGAAACUCACCACCCCAUUUCUAAUGAAUGACGUAUGAUGAUAGGAACAUCAUACGGUGAAUUGCAUAUAAAGUAAAACAUCAAGUAUACCUCGAGGCGACAUUAGAUACGAUCAUUAUCCAAUCUUCAUCUUUGACACCAAGAGCACUCAGCAUCUCAGAAUUCCUCAUCUCCCUACCCUCACAUAGCAACUUCUGCUGCUGAAGUAGUACCCGUGUCUGCUCAUACGCAUCGAAAAACAUCACACAUUCAAUAUACAUUUCUCUAUUAAUUAAUCAGCUAACUAAAUUUAAAAUUAGUUUUCAAACCAAAAAAAUUUCUAAAUUUUUUAUUUUGCAAUCACACCCAGUUCUUCAUCUCUUACUCUAAAUUCCAAUUACAAAAAAAUCUAAACUUUACUUCAAUUUAAUAUUGUUUUCCCCAAAAACAGCACAAUCCCAUAAAAAUAAAGUUUAAAAAAAACAACAAUAAAUCAUGAAUUAAAUUAAACUUCUCACCUCCACCUCCAACAUAGCUUUCACAUUCUCAACCUGUCAUAAAAAAAAUCAAAUCAAAUUCAAGUAAAAAUAAAAAAGAGAACUUGAAUAAAGCAACCCUAGUCCACCCAGUUCUUCGUCUCUUACUCUAAAUCCCAAUUACAGAAAUAUCUAAACUUUACUUCAAUUUAAUAUUGUUUUCCCCAAAAACAGCACAAUCCCAUAAAAAUAAAGUUUAUAAAAAAAACAACAAUAAAUCAUGAAUUAAAUUAAACUUCUCACCUCCACCUCCAAUAGAGCUUUCACAUUCUCAACCAGUCAUAAAAUAAAUAAAUAAAUAAAUCAAAUCAAAUUCAAGUAAAAAUAAAAAAGAUAACUUGAAUAUAGCAACCCUACUCCCCCUCCUUCUCCCUCUCCCUCCGCAAUUCACGCGUGCACCCUCUCCCUCUGUAACCCUCCCCCUGUGAAACCCCUAAACCCCACGCAUAUGCCCUAUAUCUUGUGGCUACAACCUCACAAAUCGUCCCCAUCACCUCGAUCCCAUCGAACCACAAAUCAGGCACAAUUUAUGAGAGUAAUUGUAAAAAUGGAUAAAACACUUUCAAUAAAAGUUUUAUAAAAAAAGCUUUUCAAUCCAACACCAUCCAAAACCAUAAAAGAACAGAAUAAAGACACCAAAAGUAAAAAAUAAAUAAAUUUCCACAUAUUCAACUUUCACAGUAUAGAAACACACAACUUUCACGAUAUUAAAAAAAAAAAUUGUUGGAGAAAAGGCUCAAAGGAAAAAUCCAAAAUUAUUUACCUUGAGCAUAAAGGGCUUUGAAAGAUGUAAACAAAAGCCCCAAAAAAACGAAGAGCAUAGUGACCUGAAAUAAAAAAAUAAAAGCAAAUUAUACAACCGAAAGAUCUAAUGAUAUAAACAAAAUACCCAAAAUUAUAAAAACUAAAUUACAAAAAAUGAAGAACAAUGUGUUCUGAAACGAAAAAAAAAAGAAAAUCAUAUGCCCAAAAUUAUAACGGACGAUUUCAUAUUUUGUAGAUAGAUGACACUCCCUUUUGUCAUGUAUGAUAAAUAUUCAAAGUUAUAACAUCUCAAUUCCACAUAAGGCAGUACACAAACCUUUGGAGAGAUGCCAGUGGACAGUCAAAAGCUGGGUCUCGUGUUGUGGCAACGACUCAUGCUGCUGUUCAUCGAUCACUGCAAAAGAACGCAAAGUUCUAUAUUGCUAUAGUACAUACUAGAGAUUUAUGCCCACGCGUUGCUGCGGGAUUGGAAAUUGUAUCAAAUGGUCUAGAUUAAAACAAUCAAUUCAAUCAAGAUCCAUAUUCUCAACAAACAAACUGUAACGGAGAACGUGAUAGGAUUUGAUCACAAUGCACAGCGGAAUCAACAACUAAUAUUCAACACUACACAAUCCAAAACGGUAAUGAUAUUAAGUUUUUUUUUAAACCUGAUUGUACUAAGUGAUUCUUUCAAUAAUAUGAUAAAUUAAAUAAAAUGAUCACUACCAAUAGUUUAGAUUACAACAAUCAAUUGAAUCAAGAUCCAGACUCCAACAGGACAACUAAAAGCAAAGAGUUGAGAGAAGAAACAACACAAAUGACUGGUUCCCCGAAAACCAUUUAAGUAGAGUUAAAAAAAAGGGGUUAGUCAUGACCAAAUUUAAGAAGUCACUAAAACCAAAGCUCAAUUGCAAACCUCCUUGUAUUCCAUGUAUGCAAUGACUCUACUAAUAUGUUCACAGUCAUGUUGACCUGUAUAAAGAAAAACUCAUUUAGUUCAUAGCAAAUUGUGAGUCAUUCUGAAUAUAAAAACUUGCUUUUUCAAUCACCCAUCUAAAUAAAAAAAUCAACUCCAAAAUUGAUGGUCAGAAGUAUAACUAAAUGAAAUGGGAAAACAGUUCAAGAACCUGCCAAUGUCAAGUACUAUGACUUUGUGGGAUUAAAAAUUGUAUGAAAGAUUGUGUCAUAGAAUAUUACUAAAAUUUACAUUGAAAACGUUAGAAAUUUUUUUACAUACAAUAUACUCAUUUACAAAAGAAAACAGAGCCACUGAAACGAACAGGGAUAUCAACCAAUCAUCGCAGUACAAAACCAGUAAAUACAGCAUUCACAGAACUGAGUGACUCUUACACAAUCCAAACAUAGAAUUUUAGCUUGUUGGUAUCAGAUGAUUAACUCUAAUUACACUAACGCGGACACUAUCUCUGAAGAAAACUAAAGAGAAGGACAAAAGUUGUGAAGAGUUAUCAACCAAAGUACAAAGACCAUAAAGCAUGAAAUGUUAAAGAAGAGCAGAUUUCCUCGCAACUGAUGCAUAUUGCUGUCAUAGCUCUGAGAAUAGCUAACCAAACCAAUCUAACUCUAAAGGCAGCCAUCAUAAAUUAGAAAGCUCAUUCGACAAAAGGCUAUAUUAAAAAAAGGUUCAUGUAUAUGCCCAAUUAUACAAACAAUUUUGCUAAGGAAUGCCUUUCCAACCUCCUCCUACAGCAACAGACUCUGCAUGUACAAUUUGAUAGUGUUUCUACCAGAUAAUAUAGCCAAUGGGAUUAACAAUCAUUAAAGUUGACCCUCCACUACAACUAUACAUUCUGCUAUACAUUCAUUCUCUUGCAAAACGUUCAAAAGGAUGAUAGAAAAUCUUGUGUAUAUAAAUUAUAGCCGAUGGUAUAUGUCAGUUCUCUUCUACCAUUACAACCAAUGAGAUAUAUACAUUCUCUUCUACCAUUAAGAUAUAUAAGAAAAUAACUAUUUAACUGAAAAUGAAGAUCUAAAAGCUAGCCACUGUACAUGUUCUGUCCAUUCUAUUCUACCAUUGAAGCAUGCAUGUUAAAAAAAAUUUGUAAAUCUAAACGCUUAUUUCAAACAGAGCAUGUCCAUUCAGCUCUUAAAACCGAAAGAAAAGAUUUAGGUUUCUUUCUUACCCAAAUCCACCAAUUUGAAUCAAAUCUCUGCAACCCUUCCAAUCAAAUGCAAAUUAAUACAACUCUGCAAUCAAUAAACAAAACCCACAUAAAAAAUUCAACAAAGAAAGAGAAUCCAGAAACCAAACCUAUCAAUCAAUUCCUAAAUCAACAAUAAAAAAAAAUCAAUAAAUUAGUAUCUAACUCCACAAAUAAACAAAGCCCAUAUCAAAUAAUUCACAAAAAUUUAUUACAACUAAAGAAUUACCUUCCAAGGGAUGGAGAUUCCAAGUAGGCUUCCAAUAAUGAUCUGAUCGAUAAGAAAAUACUUGUAGGUCAUGGGAUAUCACUUUGAGAUUUUCAUGGUUUACCUUUUCUUUUAAAAUGGGUUAAUACGUGAUCAUCCAGUCCUCCAACUUUCUGUUUCUCAAUCUUCUGCAAGAGGAUUGAAAUCAGAACCAUUAAGUUUCAGAAGAAACAAAGUCGACAGGAAAAAAAUGGUGUCUCCUACAUCAAACAAUGAAAAUGCAAAUUCCUUGGGCGUAAAAGAAGGGAAGCGUGGAAUGCUUACUCAAGCUCAAUUGAAGUUGAAAGGGUCAGAGACAGAAACAGAAGCCAAGGAGGAGAAAUAACGGUCAACGCCAAAUUUGUGGGUGAGGCGAGUUCGAGAGCGAUAGAUUCAGAUUUUUUUUGUUUUGAAUAUAUAUACAACUAAUUUACCAUUCAAUCAUAUUAGUGGAAAACAAUUAAACCGUAAAAUUAACAACAAUUAAAUCUUAGGAAGACCAAAUUUCCUGUAAUUUAAAAAACCCAUAUGAAAAGCUGUAGACAGUCACCAUCCAAAACCGUAAAACAACACAACAAAGACACCAAAAUUAAAAAAUAAAUAAAUCCCACAGAUUCGACUUUCACACUAUAGAACACACAACCUUCACAAUAUUAAAAAAUAAAAUUUGUGGCAGAAAAGGCUCAAAGGAAAAAACCAAAAUUAUUUACCUUGAGCAUAUUAACGGCUUCCAAGCUUGUACACAGAUUCCCCAAAAAAUGAAGAUCAAAGUGACCUGAAACAAAAUACAGAAGCAGAUCAUACAACCAAACAACAUAUCUAAGGAUAUAAACAAAACACCCAACAUUACAAAAACUAAAUUCCCAAAAACGUAGAGCAACGCGUUCUGACACGAAAAACACAAACAAAUCAUCGACCCAGACAACGGAUCUAAUGAUAUAAAGAAAAUACCCAGAAUAAGAAAAGAAAAGAAAAAAAGUCAUUCACAAAUCCCACCCCAACAUGGAAAACUACCAAAAAAAAAGUCAUUCAGAAAUGAAGAUAAAUAGAACCUUAAUAUGGAAACUGAAGCUUUACCUGCAGAUCGGCAACGGCAAAUGAAAUCCAGCGGGUACCUCUAGAGUGAGAGAGACUUACAGGGAUCGCAGACAAAAACAGAGAAUAACACCAAAAAAAUGGGUACUGACUCGGGUUUUAAACGCAAGAUGCAGCAACUAUUUAUUUUUCAAAGCGUUUUAAACGCAAAAAAUUUGCACAGAUGAUUUGGCUAAGAAAAAUGAGAAAGAUGAGAAAAUCGAAAACGGAGAAAACGAAAGCUUGAGAGAGAAAGAAAGGCAGGCGGAAAAACAGGGUGAGGGGUGAGGGGUGAGGGGUGAGGGAGAGAGAGAGGGGGACAGAUGGGAGAGGCAGAGAGCAGUGAGGGAUGAGAGAGAGUGACAAUGUUGGGAGAUGGGGAGUCUCAGGGGUGGAGAAAAUAUUAGAUAGCAAAAACCAAACACACUUUUCAUAUGUUCUAAUCAUUUUUUUUCUCUCUAAACCAAUUUUUUUAUUAUUUGUUAUCCUUUUCGAUGUCAGAAAACAUGUGCUUGUGUUUAUCUCCUAACAUUUUUUUAAUCUUAUUUUUUUGUCCAAUACAAACCUUAUCCAAAGCUGAUGAGAGACGCGAGGCAGGGAAGGACAAAACAGACUUCUUACUGUAGCAAAUUGUGAACAGUACGGAAACCAAAGAAAAAACCAAGGGCAUUCCCGCCCUUUCACUGUUGGUGAAUAGUGCACGCUCUCACAUGAUGAACAGUACUAAUCAACUGGGCUUUAGAGCAGCUCCAGCGGGAGCUCGUGCUCGAGGGACAGGCUGCGGAACAGGACUUGAUUGCCCGAGGGAAGAAGUCCAGCGUUGGCUGACGAGGGAGCCCAAGCAGGACCGAGCGCCAGACCCGUGGAUUCGUGCCGGCCCGAGCGCCCAAAGGGGAUGUGACGUGGGUUGACGUCCCUGACAUCAGCCACAAUAUAAAAUUAAUAAAAAUACAAAAAUAUUAAUACAAAAUACAAAAUUAAUACAAAAUUUAAAAAAAAUGAAAACCCAGGCUUCGAACUCAACGGCUCUCGCCGGAGUUCGUCGUCGAGGUUGAUGAUACACCCACAAACAAAUGGCAGAGACUAAACCCAAGGGUUUCAACUCGAAACAUAUAAAAAAACAAGAGAAUAACUCAAGCAAUUGAAGUAGGGCAAUAACCUCAUCUGGGUUUGAGCAAUGGAAGCUUGAAGCUCUCGGCUUCAAUGGUGGAUCACCCAAAUGGUGCUGUGAUGAUGCAUGCAAGGAUAUAUUCGAAUUCCUCUCAUCCAGGGGAUUGAGAUUUCAGAGUUUGUUGGUUUGAUUUGCUUCGGUUUCGAAGAAGAGGAAGGAUGAAAAGGAAAAUGAAGGAUAUAUGGAUUGGAAUCUAAGCUUAUGCCUUGGCGUCGGUCCAUUUUUUUAUUCAUAUGAGAGAGAGAGAGAGAGAGAGAGAGAGAGAGAGAGAGAAUAAGAAAAGGGAGAGUGUUCUGGAAAAAAAAUGAAAAGGAAGAGUUCUGGAAAAAAAAUGAAAAGGGAGUGUUCUCUAAAAAAAAUGAAAAGGAAAAGGAAUAGGAAAAAGGAAAAAAAUUAAAAAUUAUUUUGUAUUAUUUUAUAGAUAAAAAAACUAAUAUUUUAUUACCUAUUGCCAAGGCUAUUCAAGUGCAACGGUAGAGAUGCAAAAGGCAGUUACUGUUCAUUAAGGGCGAUUACUGUUCACAUAGUGGAUUGAAUAGUGAAUAGCCUGGGGAAAGGGCUCCUGGAGUAGCUCUUAGUAUAUAUAAAUAAAUAUUGAAUCAAUUCCAAAAGGGUAUUUAUAGUAAAAAAUAAGCCUCAUAUACUUUUUCUUAGAAUGUCAGCCCCAUACUUCUUCGUAAAAACAUUAACAGUAGCUAUAGCCUGUAAAAAUAGAAAAUCAAUUAUUUACCUGCAUCAUCACAGAAUGGCAGCCACAAAAAUUACCCAGGUAAAAACUGAAUGGAAAAAUUACCUAUCUAAUGCCUUCAGAGAGGCAUGAGAUCUUUUAUCAGUGCAAAAUUGAUUUGACAUCAUUUUGUAAAAAAAAUUAGAAAGCAUAAAAUAGAUGAAAAUUAAGGCUUACAUGGUGAACAUUAUUUUUUUGCUUGUCAUACCAUUGAAUUUUUAUUGCAUUCGCAGAUGAUAUACAGGGGUUGUCAAAGCAAAAGAUAUAUGUUCUCAAAUUGUUAAUGGAAAUGGAAACACAAAGGAAAACAGUUAUUCAUAUCUAAUGACCAAAUAAAACAGGUGCAUAAUAUAUGUUCUAACCAAAUAAAAGUAGGCCGACUUGGUACCAUUUAAGAAAGCCCGAUCCGCAUUCACCACAUCUACAUAUAGUAGCAUUUAUGGGAAACGUGAAAAUCAUUGUUGAUAUAUCAUAUAUCAACAACAAUCCUUAUAGAGAUGUGACAACAAACCAACUUGAACGAAAUGUAGUCAGAUCGAUUGGCGAAAGUUAUUAUCCAUUUCGUAUCCUGCUUUAGCACUGGAAAGAGAUGCUUUAAAAUAUUUGCUGCCCUUUCACCCAACUAUGAACAAUCAAGAAAAGAAAAUCAUAUUCAAUAGAACAGUAACUACGCACGCCAACUCAUAAAGAUGUGCUGAUGCAGUGAUAUCAGUGUGCAUAAGAUUAAGACGUAGCAGGAGUGGAUGGAUCAUAAUUAAUAAGCAUUAAUCAGGGAUGGAGAGAGAAAAAGAGAGAAAGAGAGAGAGAUAGAGAGAGAGAAUUAUAUCACAAUCAAGGUAGGUUAUCAACUAUAAUCAAUCAUCCUCAUCCCUGAACCGUUAUAAACUAUCUCUAAUUGGAUCAAUGGGGUCUGAUCAAUCUUGGCAUAAUGUACGGAGUAAAGUAAGCAAUCAAGAUGCUGAAAUAUUUAAUUGAGAUAUAAUACCUUGGUUGUGAAACUGUCAAGUAUCAGAUGUGGAUAAACAUGCAUUCACGUGGCUUCCCUUUCUCCAGCCAAAACCACACAGCAUCAUGCUCAUCCUCUGCGAUUAAAAUACAACAACGAAAAAAUCAAAAUGAUAGCAAUUCAAAAUUUAAAAGAAUCAUUUUUUUUAAAUGAAUCAGUGAGCAAGCAUAGAUUUGCACAUAGAAAGAGAAAAGAAACAAGGAAGAUAUGAAUACCCACUCUCUGUCACCCAUCUGCAAGCCCACCCACCCUGUCAACCAAACUGUUUGAGAUGGACGAAACCCCAACCCCCAACUCUCCUAAGGAUGCAAUCAGAGCUUCGGGUUUCAGGAAGCAAAUGAAAAACGAAGUGCGUUUUCAUCCCCCACCCUUUCUACGAUCGUCGACACGUGCACGAGAGAAGCGGUGGCAAUUUCGUAAAUAAAUCAAAAUUUUCAAUCUGAAACGGAAAGGGUGGUGGCAAUUUUGUAAAUAACUCAAAAUCCACCCCAAGUCACUGUUCAUUUGUACAGUGCAAUUUCUUCUUCUUCUUCUUUUUUUUUUUUUUGGACAAAGGCUUACUUUAUUUAUUGGGUAAAUAUCAGUUUACUACUCUCAAGUUUCGUGGUUUUCAACAUUUGGUAUAUGAAGUUUUUUUCGUCUCAGAGUCAUACCUAAAGUGUUAAUUUUGGGACAGUCUCCUACAUCUGUUAGUUUAACUAUUAAAUCAGCAGUUAACUGAUGACGUGGCACCAUGUAGACAAUGACUGGGCGCCACGUGUCAAUAUAACGCCCACGUGAAUAUUAAAAAAUUUAAAAUUAAAAAAAAAAUCUAGGCACCCACCCAUUCUCCUUCCCCCCCUCCCUCUCCCUUCUUCUCCCUCCCUUCUCUUCCAUGCACCCAUCGUCCCCGCACACCCACUCAUUCCCCUUAUUCUCCCUCCAUUCUCUCCUCUGCACCCACCCACCUCGCACACCCACCCACCUAAAAUCAAACCACAUAAAAAAACACAAAUUUCCCCCCAAAAUUUCUUACCAUCCAAAUACCCUCUGCUUCCCCCUUUCUCUCUCCUAGGUUUUAUUUGUAUCCCUUACAUCCCACACUUUCUCGCGCUUUCCCGGAAAAAUUUUCAUCUUCAAAUCUUCAACAUGAGGCAAUAGAAAGGUAUGCCGCCUUAUUGGGACCCGCCAACUCCGUUCGUCGAGCUUUCAAAUGAUUCAAAUCGCAGCUGGUUUGGAGAAAGAGAUCGCUAUGAUGAACAGCGAUUUUGGAUUGGAUGGAAAAUCGGAUGCCACUGGAGAGGCUGAGGAAGCUAGAGCUCCGGUUUCCUAAGGCGCGUAGGUAAAGAUGGAGCUAGGUUUUGCCAAUGAAGCUUGAUUCGGGAAGUAAGGUUGGCGGAAGAUCUGAGGAUGAUAGGGCUAGGGUUGGUACAGAGAGUGAAGUUGGAAAUGUAGAUAAAGUGAUGGAAUCGAAUGGUUUUGGAAGCAUGGUGGCAGAGUAAAGGGUCACUCGGGUCUCAUAGGGUUGGAGAGAGAGAGAGAGAGGGCGGAUGGGUGGGUGUGCAAUGUGAGUGGGUGUGCAGGGAGGGUGAGUGCAGAGGAGAGAAUUGAGGGAAAAUGAGGGGAAUAGGUGAGGUGUGCGGCCAGGAUGGGUGCAGGGAAGAGAAGGGAGAUAUGAGGUCGGAAAUGAGGGGGAAUGGGUGGGUGCCCAGAAUUUUUUUUAUAAUUUAUAAUUUAUAAUUUUUUUAAUAUUCACGUGGACCCCAUAUUGACACGCGGCGCCCUAGUCAUUUUUCACAUGGGUGCCACGUCAUCAGUUAACGGUUGAUUUAACAGUCUAACUAACAGAUGUAUAAGAAUGUUCCAAAAUUAACACUAUAAGUAUGACUCUAGGACGAAAAAAAACUUCAUAUACCAAAUGUUGAAAACCACGAAACUUGAGGGUAGUAAAUUGAUAUUUACCCUUAUUUAUAACACAACAUAUUACAUUAUAGAAGGCUCAAAUACAAGAAAUACACAAACAAAAAGAUGAACCUCUAUAGUAACCUAACAGCCCAAAACAUAGUUUUGAGGCCUGAACAGGAAAAACACCAAAGUAAACCCUAGCAGCUUCCUACCUCCGCCGUCAACCCGCUUACCAAACAAACAGCCUCUGCAACCAUCACAAAUCAACAGAACUAAAACCCCAAAGCUGGAUGAAAACGUAUGAAAACAAGACCCCAAAACAGAGCCCCAAACUCUUCCACAGUAGACCAUAACAGUAGCUGACACAAAUUGAAGGAAGCUAGCGGGACAAAACCUAUUAGCAUAGUGGCAACAAAGGCAAACCAAAGGAAGGAGGUGGUGUGAACACUCGAACAAAAGCUUUACUCACCUUCCAGGAGAAGCGUGAAAAAUCACGUUGAAAAAAAGUGGGAGCCAAGCCGAACUGUGAAGUCGGAGAAGGAUAAAGCCGAUCCAGAUUGGGGAACGUGGGGGAAAAUGUAACACCCACCCCCAUUUAUAAAAAUAUAAUUAUGUAAUUACCCCCAAAAUAUUAUGAAUCUAUCAAUUUUGGUCCUUUUUUACUACCAAUGAAAAUCUGAAAACAUUGGAUUCUUUCUUCCUCAAGCUGCCACGUGGCAGCACCCCCUUCACUCCUCUCACUUCUCUCUCUGUCCCCCCCCCCGUGAUCCCCUUCCUUAUUCUUCUUCUUUUUUGUCUGUCCCGUCUCUCUCCCUCUCGGAUAUCUCUCAUUUCUCUCUCUCAUCUCUCUCAUCUUUCUCAUCUCUGCACUGUGAACCCACACACACGCACACCAUCGCACAUGCUCGAAGUAGACACCCAUCACCAUCGCGUCCUGUUCUCUCUCUCUCGUUUCCGCCAACCCAAAAAACCAAAAAAAUGAGCUCCGGCGAGAUUUUUCAAUCUCAGGUUAGGUAAGCGCCAAAUCUUCCCUUUUUCGUCCUAGAAUCUGGUGAAAUGUGGUUUAAUGGAGUUUAUUUCGUUAUUUUUGGAGGUUUUUAGGACGAAUCGAACUCGGGUGUAGGAACACCCAUUUCCGGCGAGCUGUGGGUGUCGGGGGAGAUUCCGACCAUCUUCGGCCGUUCCACGACGAAAUGAAGGUAUAGAAUUACUCCAUUCGUCUUACUCUUCGUUUUGGUACCUAGAUUAGAGUCUAGGGUUGUGUUUGGUGGUCGGCCGGAGCUGUUGAAGCUCCGAUGUUUGUUCUCCUGCGAGACCAGGCCUCCUAGGCCGGUUCCAAGUCAAGCAGGCCUUAGGCCCGUGUGGGGAGUCAAGCCCAAAAUCCUAACCCAAUUUCCUUUUUAUUGUUUUUAUUUAAUUGUUAUUUGUUUUAAGACCCUAAAGGCCUUCGGGCCGAUAAGUUGAAGGCUUGAAGCCCGUGACCCAACCCAAAACCCUUUUUAGGUUUUGUUAUUUUUCUGAUUUAGAAAGAAGGCCUUGGGCCAAUUAGAAAGUGGGUUUUUAGCCCUUUCCCUUUUAAACCCUUUAACCUUAGUUAAGCCCAAAACCCUUAAGGCCCUUAAGGCCCUUUCGGCCCAACCCAAAACCAAAGCCCAGUCUGACCUUUGACAGUUUGACCGUUGACUUUGACUUUGACCGGUCAACGGUCAGCGUUGACUUUUUGAGUUGACUUUUCGGGGUUUCAGGGCCUUUCCUAGGCUAAUUUCGACGUCCUGGACCCGUUUUUGAAGUCUAUUUUCCCAAAUUCAAUCGUUUGAAUAGAGUUUGACUAAAGGUACUCCUUUAUGUGAUUAAGUGCAAUUACUAACGGUGAUUCCGUUAUUCCUUGUUGGUAUAGCUUUGCACCAUCGGUGUAAGGUGAGUGGACCCCUUCUAAAAUGCAUGUUUUAAUAGUAGAAAUGCAUACAUGAAAAACAUGAUUUGAUGAUUACGUUUUAUGAAACGUUUUGUGAGAUAACAUGCUUACUGAUGCUACUUUGAAUUAUUACUAUUUUUCCUAUAACCCGUGUUCUUAUAGAAUAUCUGAUGGAUGACGAUAUGAUAUUUAGAACAUGUUUCGAACACCUCUUUAUAGUAUAGAUGAUGAAUGACUUUAUACUAUGAAGUUGCCUUUCAACAUAUAUAUGUUCAAUGGUUUUGUACUUACCUAGUGGUCCUUUACGCUACGGGAUGUAGGGAUAGAUUCCGGUCCGUCCCAGACGACGAUUUGGUGUUAGCAUAGGGCCUGGAGUGUGUUUUCUCUGGCUAUUUAGCACAAGGACGGGGAGCCGGCAUGGGGCCUGGGGGUUAUCAGACAAUUCACUAAUAAUUAUUAUAUAUACAAGUUAUGAUUUGAGACACUGCACGACAUGCUAGGUUUCGGAAAACCUAUGUUGAUCAUUAUAUAUGUGUUUUCAUAAAACCUGGGGGUUAGUACGUUGAUAACUGUUUUACUAUUUAUAUAUCAAAUUGGUCCACUCAUGUUUGUUUUGCGCCCCCUUCAGGGCUUAGAAUCGAGGCAUACAAUCCCAAUGUCAAGGCACUUCCACAUUGGCAUCUUCGAGUCUUCUUGGUGUAAGAUCCAUUUUUUUAUUCAUUCAAUUUUAUAUUAUUUCUUUUAGUAUUCUAGUUAGUUGUAUGCUCUGAACACGUUCCUUAAAUGCAUAUUCCUCAUUCUUUUACAAUUAUAAGUUUUAUCUAUUCCUUGUUUUCAGCAUUUGCACUAAAUAAAUGGCUUUCGUCACCCUUGAGUGUCGGCCAGCACGUGCCUAUCCUGGUAUUCGGGGAAUAUCGGGGUCGGGGAAUAUCGGGGUCAGGGAAUAUCGGGGUCGGGGCAUGUCAGAAAAGAGGGGGAAAAGGUGGAAGGAAGACAAAAGGAAACAGAAGGAAAAGGCGGAAGAAAAGAAUGAAAGGGAGAAAUUGAAAAAUAGAGUAAAAACAGAGAUAACAGAUGUAGAGGGGUUUGAGUGGCAAACAGGCCACUGGGCGGGGGUAGAAGGAAGACAAAGGAGGAUGAAAAUCAACAAGAGAAGAAAAUAGAAGAAGAAAAGGAAAAUAGAAGAACAUAGCAGAGAAGGGGAAAAUAGAAGAACAUAGCAGAGAAGGGGAAAAUAGAAGAAAACAGAAGAAGAAAAUGAAAAGUGGCAACCAACUCCAGCCGAAGCCGGAGUCGAUGCUUGAGAAGGUGGACAAGUUGAAGACCCUCACCAAAGGGGGAAAGAAAACUCUCACAGAGGAAAGAAGGUCUCUCACGGAAUGAGAGAUUCACUUCUUCCCCUUCUUUAGAUUAAAGUAAUUUGGUGUCCAUUGGUUUCUCAAGUGGAGAUGAGGGAGAGAGAGAUCGAGUUGGGAGUUUGGGAGAUGAGGAGGGUAGGAUUGCCAUAUUGAAAAUUUCAUUAAUGACUACGGUUAACCUGUGUUAUAAAAUAGCUGGUUUUUUUAAGGGAGUUUUAACGAAACACUUCCGGUAUUGUUCACUUAAAUGAAAACGACAAUUUUACUUUAAAAAGUCACUUUGACACUAUUCACUUACAACACUUUUUUGUCAUUUCGAUUAAAGCUUAAAAUUUUCAAGCCAUUAUCAUUAGUUUUCCUAUUUUAAAAAACAUCUAUGAGAGAUGCUUUUAAUAGAAAUUUCCAAGGCCUAACUUUGAAUAUAAUAUUCCAGAUGAAAUAAGUCGUUUCUGCCAGGUGUUGACAUGUGUCAUGUUUGAUGACUUUUCCAACUUAUUUAGAUUUUUUGUUUAGACACACGCUACGCGUAAAAUUUAUGUAAUACAUGAGCGUUGAAACUUUGAUUUAUCGGUCAACAUUUAUUUACUGAAAUUUCGAUGUCUACAGAAACACUUAAAAUAAUUGCAAGAGUACAAGGUAGUUGUAGUAUAGCAGCUCAAACAAAGUCGUUCUCCACAGGGAUUGAAUGAAUAAUUUAUAUUUAAACUAAUCCUUAGCUAAUUAUUUGUAACAAAGUUUCGAAAAUGUCGAUUUUGGAAUUUAAAAUAAUAAAAACAAUUAAAUAAUUUGCAAAGUAAAAUGAACUAAAAAGAAAACGAUUUUAAAAAUCAAUUUAAGCACUAAAGUUCCGCCGUCACCAUUAACAAUCCUAUGCAAUUUUAUGAAUUACAUAUGAAAUUCUACAUACAUGCUUUGAAGGUUAGGUUUUCCUAAUAUAUAUUUUCCUCGUGAUGUUUGAGCGAAAACGUAUAUCUAACAUGCAACUCAUCUGUGAUGUUCAAAUCAAAUAUAAACAUGCAAGCCUCAUUAAGUUUUGUGAAAACCUUUUGAAAAACCAAGCAACCCUUAAGAGCGUGAUGUUCACCUUAACUGAACGUACAAUUACUAAUCACAAGAAGCCAUCCUCAAUUUCAAGGUGAUGUUCCAACAUAAAUUGCAUUAAAUUACUUGUCUAAAUACCCUAAUGGUCGCAAAUCACUAAGACAAUUAGAUAGUUUAAACACGAUAAUUAAUAAUUCAAAGCAAUCAUACAUUCAUUCAUAAGCAAAUUAAUAAAAUCACAUAUUCAUGUUAAGACUCAUGGUCUCGCCCUAGCAAAAAGACUAGUUUCACAUAAUCAUAAUAAAAACUAAAGAAAAUAUCAUUAACUAGAAAAAUAAAUGAAAACACCUUGUAGGUAAAAAAUCUGAAAUUUCCUAAAAUAAUGCGUCUCUCCAAUCCUAAUGGCUAAAUAACCUUAAUUGUACUACUAGAAAAAGUCUUCUAAAAACUAGGAAACAUAAUAGAAUAAGAUAACUUGAAAAUACAUUCAUAUUUUAACUUUGGAAAAUCUGUCCAUCCACAAAGAAUCCCACAUUUCUGCAUCUUUAGGGCUCCAAAACAGGCCCAAAACAACUUGAAUUAAAGAUUAAGACGUCAUUUUCAAGUUCCAAGAAGAUCACAAGUCCAAAAUUCAUCAUCUUGUAGCCCAAAAAGUCGCAAGUAAGCUCUAUAGUCCGAUUUGCCAGCAUUGCGUGCUGGUAUAAAUUAAUUCGCCGAGAUCAGAUGCUUAAGGAUAAAAUUACGAAAUUUUGAACAACCUUCUUGACAGAAUCACGAACCCACUUCAAUUGGAAUCACUCAAAAAUUUCACCAUUUGAUUACUUAAUGCUCAGAACAAGUUCGCACGUCCUACAUUGAAAAUAAUACAAAGCAUCAACAUUUCACCAAAAUAAUAACCAAAAUAUACCAAGAAUGGGAGCAAAUAUAUAGUAUAAAAUCAAGGGAGACUUUGGAUGUGGUCCCUAGUUAUGAACAGUCUUUGACUGAAACCUUGUUGGUUUUCAAUUUUUGAUCCAAGUCCCUGAAAUUAAUUGAUAAUUUAUUUCUAUGUACAUUACUAUAUUUUUAAAUUAAAAAUUAAAAUUUAUAGUUGUUUAUAGUAAUGAGAUUUUAAAUAAAAAACCAUAAUUUGUGGGAUUAAAAAUAUUAAAAUAUAAAUAUACUAUUGUGUGUGUGUGUGUAAACAUGGGUACAUUCAUAAAAAAUAACCAAAAAAUUAUUGUAUCAAAACAUGGGUACAUUCUUCAAAAUAGGUACAUUUAGCAAAAAUAAAAAUGGGUACAAAUAAAUAAAAAAGUAUGGGUACAAUACAAAUAAAACUUUAAAAAAUAUGGACACAAAAAGAAAUUAAUAUAUGGGUACAAAUUAAAACUGAAAGGAAAAUUGGUACAAAUUAAAAAAGGGUUGCAAAUUAAAAUGGGUACAAAUUAAAAAAAAAAUAUGAUAAAAAAUUUAGCCAUAAAUAUAAAUAUACUAAUUGUAACAUUUUUAAUAUUAAAUGAAUAUAUUUAGAAAUAAAAAAUAUUUUAUUAUUGAAAUAAUUAAUGAUAUUAUUAAUACAAAGGACCUUGAUCAAAAAUUGAAAAGUAAUAAGGUUUUAAUCAAUAGAGUAGUAAAAAUAGGGAUGAAAACCUAAUUACUCCUAAAAUGAACUCAUCAGUUACCACUAGAAUAAUGUAAUAGACGACAUGUGCUAUACACACUAAUUAAUUUGGUCAUUAUACUACACAUUUAAGCUAAAAACCGUAGUAUAACAGCAUACGAAAUGUUAUAAAGUGAUGGAUAUAUCUAAUACAUGACAGUAAUACACAAAGGUUGUUUGGUAAUAGCCGUUGUCGGAUGCAAAUAUGUAUGACGGUGAAAAAAAUCGUUGUGGAUUAACUUUAUACUAUGACACACUUGAGCACAACAAUUUUGUGAACGACGGUAUUUCACCGUCGUCCAGUUACUUUUUUUUUUAUGAUUAUAAAUCUUGAUUCCACUGGUUUUGGAAUGGUAACGAUGAUCUAGUAGAAAAUUGGAAAGUAAUGUAGUUACAUUUUGUUAGAACCAAAAAGGAUGGCAAAGAGCUUUUGUAAAAGCAGUCUGAUUACAGUUGUAAACUGGGAGAAUUCUUAUUGAAUUGAAAUAACAUUUAUGGUUAUUAAAUAGCCUUACAAUGAAAUAGGAAAGGAAACAACAACCCACGAUUUUACAGGGCUUAGAAUCUGUUAAACAUUAAAGUUGAUAUUUUGGAGAAUCUAAAUAGCCAUGUAUUUUUUGUUUUUUGUUUGUAUGUGCUGGCAGUGUCUAGAAUUAUCUUUUUGGGUAUUAUUUAUUAGGUCCAGCUUUAUUGUCUCUUAAAGAGAAAAAGAGGAGUCUUUAGAAAGAAACGAAAAGUCACUAGUUGUGCCUUUCCUCCUCCCUGUACCAGAUCUUUUUUGUGUGUGCAGAAAAUAGAAGUUGGAGUAUUUUUUUAUUCAUCUCUUUAGCUUGUUCUUCUUUACAUCUUUGUGUGUUGAUCUUGGGCUAGUGUAUUGUAUUACACUAUUGUUGUUAUUUACAGAAUCGUGGUGCAUGACUAAGUCAGAAAUGGAAAAACAAUCUUGUCCCUCAAGUAUAAGAGGGAUUAUAUGUAGGGCUGGAAAAAAAUCCCAAAAAUCCCAAACCAAACCAAAAAAAUCCCGAUCCCAAACCAAAAAAAUCCCAAACCAAAAUUCCCGAAAUUUUCAGGAUGUCAUCCCGAACCAAACCGAAAUUUUCGGUAUGGGAUUCGGUACUGCAUCUCCAUUUUUCGGUAUUCCCAUACCGAACCGAAAAAAAAUUAUAUAUAUAUUAUUUUUUAAUUGUAAGAGAAUUAUUUCAACCAUUGAUUAUUUUGGAUUUAAUAUGUGCCGUUGAUUUGUUUUUAGGUCAGAUCCAAAUGGUACUCUACUCUUUCCGUUCAUUUGUUUCCAUCCAUUGAAGUCUCGAAACGCAGCCCUCCCUCACCGAGCCCUCAUCUCUCAUCUAAUCUCUCAUCGAACUCGAAGUCACUCUCACGGUCUCACCUCACCCCAAAUUAGGUAAUUAAUUUAGUGUUUUGAAACCUAAUUUAUGUCUUCCUUUUGAAAUUUAAUUUAGGGUUUGAAUCUUGAAUCUUAAUUUCUGUCUUCGUUUUGAAACCUAAUUUCAAUCUUGAAUCUUCCCUUACUGGUUUCAAUUUUGAAGAGUGAAUGUUUUUAUGCGCUGCAUGUUUGCAGGAUUACCAGAUUGCUGCGGCUACCAGGAUUACCAGGUUUAUGCGCUGCAUGUUUUUUGCAAGUCUCAUCCUCUCCCAAAUGAAAUUGGUAUGUAGAAGGGAUGUAUGGGGAGAAAAUGCAAUAUCUUUCGAUGUUUGAAUAAAUACGACAAAAAAUUUGAUUGAGUAUCAGUGAAAAGCUUGCAGUAGGAUCAUCUUCAGAUUGUGAAUAUGUGUGUUCUACGUUUAAAUACUCUAUUGAGUCCCAACUGCUUACCUGUACAUAAUGCAUUAUGCAGUGGCUCCCCAGAGACAGAGCAUUGUGGAUGGAAUGAGGAUGAUAGCACUCAAACUUGAAUUUGGUGUAUCCCACAAUCAGAUAUUUGAGAGGUAUUUUUCUUUUAUUUUGUUCUACUUUUUGUUCUUAUCUUUCAAAAUUGUAGAUGUCUUUUAUUGAUUAUUAAUUUGUGCAGGACCCUAGCAGUGCAUUUUACAGAUCCUUUCCAUGUGAGCAAACGGGUUGCAGAUAAAUGCAAUGAUGGUACUUUGCUUCUCUAGGUAUGUGUGAUAUGGUUUUCAAAACUACACUUCUGUAUGUAACUUUACUUAUGCAUCCCUGGCUAGGUGAUUAGAUAAUAAGACGUGAAGUGUGUGACAUCCUAUUCCUAUGUGUUGAAACAUGGAAAUUGUUUCUGUUUCACCAGAUGGAUAUUAAUCACUUACUUUCUGAUGCAGGGUGUUGAUCCAAGUAUUCGAGCUGAAGUGUGGCCGUUUCUUCUUGGAGUGUAAGUAUUUUCAUAUCUAUGCGAUUGCUUUAAUGCUUCAAGUUUUGUAUGUGUUAUAUGAAAAUUAGUUAGUAUACGAUUUUCAAAUUUUCACCCUGGUUUUUAUUUGCUUUGUAGUUCAAAUACACGAUAUAUGCUCAGAUUUUUCUAUGUUGAAUGCUCAGAUUUUAUUUGCUUUGUAGUUCAAAUACACGAUAUAUGCUCAGAUUUUUCCAUGUUGAAUGCUCAGAUUAUUGAUUGGAAUUUGGAUAUAUGCUGAACUGUGGUUGUGAUAUAUAUUAAUGUGCAUUGUUAUUUUAUUUGUUAAGUAGGAUGAACGGGUCUAGUAGCCAAUCUAGUGCACAUAUGGUCUCGGUAUUAGGGGCCGAAGAGGCCAACAAUCUUCAUAAAUUUUAGGCUUUGUUUUUUUGCUUUUGGUUUGUAACUUAAUUAUUGAAACUUUGGCUUGGAACUAAUUUUUUUGCUUUUGAGUUUGUUACUUUAUUUAUUUUAAAACCUUGACUUGUAACUAAUAUUUUUGCUUUUCGAUUUGACUUGUUGUACGUCACUAUGGGCUGUUGAAUAUAUUUGGCAAAUUGCUUUAAAAUAGAUUUGUACACAGAUUUGACAUGUGUAGUAGAAAUAAAAUUGUUUUUUGUUGAAUUAGGUUAAGCCCAUAUGGGCUGUUGAAUUGAGUGACUAUACAAUUGGACAUAUUCAUUACUAGGCUGGGUGGACAGAUUUUGGGCAUGGCCCAAUAUUGGCUUUUUGUCCAAAAGCCCAAAACCAUUUCGGGAUUCCCGAUUUGUCCCGAAAUCACGAAACUAUUUUGGGAUUCCCGAAAAUUUGGUUUGGGAUCGGUAUUGAAAUUGAGAUUCCCGAAAAUUUUGGUUUGGGAAUCGGGACAAGGGUUUCGGUAUGGGAUCCCAUACCGAACCACCUCUAAUUAUAUGCAUGACUUGAAUCAAACCCUAAAAACAAGGAACCCUAACCCUAAUGGGUAGGAAGUCCCAACAACUUUAACAUCAUCCAUUAAGCUGAAUGUCAUUGGCAAUCAAUUGAUUCCAGGGUAUUCGCAAACACCCAUUCAACCUCGCAUCUUCGAAAACAUUUCAAGCUACAAUGGUUUUGUCAAGAUAUCUACAAUUUGCUCCUGAGUAGAACACUAUAUUAGCUCCACUACUUCAUCUUGGACAAGAUCACGAAGAAAAUGAAUAUGGACAUCUAUGUGCUUGCUACGGCCAUGCAUCACUGGAUUCUUCGAGAGUUUGAUGGCUGAAGUACACUACCGUAGGAUUGGAUUGCACAUGAUUUAGAAUUUUCAAAAUUCUUCUCUGGCACACAACUUCAUACACACUUGAUGCUGCAACAAUAAACUCUGCUUCUAUGGUGGAAAGAGUAACUAUGGGCUGUUUCUUUGAAGACCAAGACACUGCACCCGAAUUCAUCAUAAAAACAUAACUUGAAGUGCUCUUUUUGUCAUACUGAUAUCCAGAAUAAGCGUUGUCUAUGUAGCCAAAGAGCUCUUCAUCUCCUCAUUUCUUAAAGACACCCCAAAGCUAGUUGUGCUCUUCACAUACCUUAGAACUCUUUUUGCUGCCAUCAAAUGAGUCUAUGUGGGACGUUCCAUGUACAUACUAGUUAAGCUUACAACAAACAUUAAAUCAGGACAUGUGGCAGCUAGAUACAUAAGAUUUCCCACCAUCUACUUGUAAACCUUGUCAUCGACUCCCACUCAUUAUUCAUCCCUUGUAAGCUUAAACCCAAAAACCACUAGAUUGUGCACUGAGUUGCACUAGUCCAUAUUAAAUCUCUCCACAAGUUCUUGAGCGUACUUCUGUUAGCUAAUAAAGAUGUUAUCUAAUAUUUGCAACACUUCAAUGCCAAGGAAAUAUCUCAUUUUCUUGAGAUUAGUCAUAUAAAAUUCAACCAUCGUGGACUUCUUAAAUUGUUCGAACAUAACUUCAUCAUUGCCAGUAAAUAUAAGAUCAUCAACAUAAAGACACUUUCAAUAAUUUACCUCCAUCCGUUGUUUUAAUGAACAGAGUAUGCUCGUAGGACAUUUGUUGAAGCCUUCCUUAACAAAGUAUGACUCUAUACGACUGUACUAGGCUCAGGGAGCCUGUUGAGUUCAUACAAAGCCUUCUUGAGCAAAUAGACCUUGGAUUUAUUCCCCUUUUGUUCAUAACCAGGAGGUUGAUCGACAAACACCUUUUCAUUAAUUUCUCCAUGCAGAAAGGCUGAUUUGACAUCAAGUUGGUAAAUCAACCAACUUUUCUGAGUAGCAAGGGAAAGUACAAUUCGAAUUGUAUCCAAGUGAGCCACUGGUGUGAACACUUCAGCAUAAUCUACCCAUAUUGUUAGAUGUAUCCCUUAGCGAAUAGCCAUGCCUUAUACUUGUCGACUUCCCUAUGCUCAUUGAGUUUUGUUUCAAGACCCACUUCACUUCAAUGGUUUUUGCCCUAAUGGUAGAUUCGUUAGUUCUCACAUCUCAUUCCUCUUUAUAGCUUCAAUUUCUUGAUCCAUAGCUUACCUCCAUUUUUCACAAUAUCCUCAAAUGUCUAGGGAUAACUGUCAGUGAACAAAGCUAGAUGAGCUAUGUUUACACCUUCUUCAUCAAAGAAACCUUGACCAGUUUCAUAAUCUCCCAUCCACACUGGUGGUCUUCGUGUUCGUCCUUUUGUGAGGUGAGUUGUCAUUAUUCAAGGUGUCUUCUUCUUCUAAAAAGUCACUGCUAUCAGUCCUACCGUCCUCCAAUUCUUCAUUAGCUUUAGACUCAUCUCCAUUGCCUUUAUCUUUUAUACUUGCUUAUUCGUUAGUUUCCCAUUCAAGAUCAGCCAAUAUGGCUUGCUUGUGACUGCAUCCAUACUCCAUUUUUUAUCUUCCUUAAAGACCACAUCUCGGUUUACAAUUAUUUUGUGAAAUGGGAUCAAUCUGCCUGUAAGCUUUAGACUCUUCACUUACUCCAAGUAAUAUGCAUUUGAGACUCUUGGCAUCAAGCUCCACUCUCUUGUUGUCAGGUAUAUGAGCAUGGAUAUGCAUCCAAAGAUUCUGAAAUGCUCCACUAAUGGUUUAAGUCCGCUCCAACCUUUUUAGGUAUUUCUCUCUUCACAGCAAGGGUCCGACUUCUAUUCAGCACAUGAACCAUCCAGUUUACAGCUUCAUACCAAUAAGUUUUAGAAAUUUUCUUCUCAGGCGACAUGCUUUGUACCAUAUUCAUAAUGGUUCGAUUUUUCCUCUCGGCAACACCGUUUUGUUAGGGAGUAUAUGUAGUCGUCAAUUGCAUGUGUAUUCCAUUCUUAUUACAGAAGUUUGUGAAUUCUUAUAAUGUGAACUCGCUCUCACGAUCUGUUCUAAAACUCUGUAUGAAUGCUCUAGUUUCAUUCUCGACCCUGGCUUUGUAGGUUUUGAAUGUGGCAAAGGCUUCUGAUUUUUCUACCAAGAAAUAAACCCAAGUUUUUCUACUGAAAUUGUUAAUAAAGGUGAUGAGAUACCUUUUCUUGCUGUUCGAGAUUGGAUUUAUCAAACCAUAUAUAUCAGCAUGCACCAAUUGAAGAAUUUUGAAGGCUCUCUAUAUACUUUCCUUUGGGAAUGGAUCAUGGUGUUGUCUUCCCACCAAACAGUCUUCACAUAUUCUCUAAGUAGCUUUGAACUGAGGUUACCCUUCAAUCAUCUUCUUUUGUUGAAGUACUUUGAGUCCAUUCCAGCUAAAAUGUCCAUAUUGACAGUGCUAAAGCAUGGCUUGAUUUGUGGUCUGUGAGGAGAAAUAUUUUUGCUCUCUUAGUGGACAGCGAGCAAGCACAUCAAGCAAACAUUCUAUUAUAUGUUAUCUCAGGAUGAAAGAUCUUACAUUUUCCAUGUUGAAUAAGCACAACGAGUCUCUUCUCUUGUAGUUGCUCGAUGCUUAACAAGUUGUUCUUCAGUUCUGGUACAAAGAAGACUCAUGUGAUCACAUGUGCAAUCUCAUUCACCUUUAUUUGAACCUUGCCUUUACUUCGUACAAUAAGGCUCGAGUCAUUUCUCAGCUUCACAGACUCUCUGAAAUUUCUAUCAAAUUCAAAAAAUAUGUCUCUUUUGCCACACAUAUGGUUGCUAUACCCAGAAUCAAGGAACCAAAUGUUCUCUACUUCAUCUUUUUUAAAGUCCACAUGGACCAUCAACAACAUCUCUUCUUUUGUUUCUGCGUAGUUUGCCUUUGGAUCCCUUGCUUUCCUUGGACACGUCCACUGAAAAUGCCCUAACUCAUGACAAUUAUAGAUUGUAAUGUAGAUUUCUCAAACUCAAAUCUACCUCUACCUCUUCCUCUUCCUCUUCCUUUUCCUCUUCCUCUUCCACGAUAAGUACUUUGACCUCCACAUUUUCCUCCUUGCUAAGCUACAUAAGUGACUUGCAGUGCUUGUUCAUCCGGCUGAUUCUUUGUUCAUGCACCAACAGGUUACUCUGAAGCUCGUCUAUAGACAAGGUUCAUUCGAUUCCUCAAUCAAACACACAACAUAAUCAUAUUUUGAAGUCAUAGACCUCAAGAUCUUCUCAGUGAUCACCACAUCCUCCAUUUUCUCUCUGUGAACCUCAUUUUAUUAGCUAUGAUGAGAGUUCUUCCAAAGUAGUCAUUGACUUAUUCCCCAGCGUUUAUGUGUAUCACUUUAAACUCUUCACAAAGAGCUUGCAAUUGGGCACACUUGACACAUGCCGUUCCUUGAUAUUUCUGCUUCAAAGAAUCUCAUAUAUCCUUCGCGGUAUCCUUCUUCAAGCACCACCACCUAACAAUCUUCAUCUCAAAUCCUAGGCUUGGACGAGAUCCUUCUCUCUUCCUUUUUCUUUUCCUUUGCACAGUAGUGCCUUUACUAUGCAUCCCUUUCUUUGGCAAGUUAUCACCGUUUUCGGCGAAGGUAAGCCACGAACUCCUUCGAUCUUCCUCCCUCGUGGUCUAAAGUAUUUGUUUGAUGAUAAAUAAUGACUUUGGUGAAUGGUUUAAUCACAAAAACUGCUAUGGGAAUUUUUUUCCAUAUUCGGGGAAGUGGGAGACCGUGACUGUUUCGCCACUUUCAAGCCAUUUUUCAAGCCAGCUCCGAUCCUCAUUGGGCCUCGAAAGGGUAUAAAUCUCUUCCCUACAUUUCUAACUUUACAUAGGAUCUUGAAUCACUUGAUUUGUGGUUGUAUCGAGCUCGGAAUUAGCUCUGGGAGUUAAAUGAGAAACCUGCAAAAAUUGCAGAAAUUGUGAGAUCCCACAUUGGCCAGGGGAGUGGAUCAUCUAUGCCUUAUAUGUACAUUCUCACCUCUAAUUGGCACGAGGCUUUUUGGGUGCUCACUGGUUUCAGGUUUCAUCGAAACUCCGAAGUAAAGCGAGUUCGCGCGAGAGCAUUCCCAUGAUGGGUGACCCACUGGGAAGUUCUCAUGUGAGUUCCCAAAAAAAAACUGUAAGGGCGUGGUCGAGGCCCAAAGCAAACAAUAUCGUGCUACGGCGGAGGUGGGGCCGGGGAUGUGGUGAGAGCCCGGGUCGGGAUGUGAAAAUUUGGUAUCAAAGCCAAUCCCUGGCCGGAAGGGUGCCGACGAGGACGUCAAGCCCCUAAAGGGGGUGGAUUGUGAGAUCCUACAUCGCCCAGGGGAGUAGAUCCUAUAUGCCUUAAAUGUACAUUCCCACCUCUAAUUAGCAAGAGGCCUUUUGUAAGCUCACUGGCUUCGGGUUCUAUCAAAACUCGGAAGUUAAGUUAGUUCGUGCGAGAGCAUUCUCAUGAUGGGUGACCCACUGAGAAGUUCUCGUGUGAGUUCCCAAAAACAAAACCGUGAGGGCGUGGUCGGGGCCCAAAGCAAACAAUAUCAUGCUACGGCGGAGGCGGGACCCGGGAUGUGGUGGAGGCUCGGGUCAGGAUGUGAAAAUUUGGUAUCCAAACCAAUCGCUAGCUGGAAGGGUGCCAACGAGGACGUCGGGCCCCUAAGGGGGGUGGAUUGUGAGAUCCCACAUCGCUCAGGGGAGUGGAUCCUCUAUGCCUUAUAUGUACAUUCCCACCUCUAAUUAGCACGAGACCUUUUGGGAGCUCACUGACUUCGAGUUCUAUCGGAACUCCGAAGUUAAGCGAGUUCGCGCGAUAGCAUUCCCAUGAUGGGUGACCCAUUGGGAAGUUCUCAUGUGAAUUCCCAGAAACAAAACUAUAAGGGCGUGGUCGGGGCCCAAAACGGACAAUAUCGUGCUACGGCGAAGGUAGGGUCAGAGAUGUGGUAGGGGCCCUGGUCGGGAUGUGACAUAAGGCGAGUAUAGCGUACUCGUGGGCUCGUGAAGCACACGGGCCUCCACUAGGGGUACUAUGGAUGGCGUUGCCGAUGAUUUUUCCGGCCAACUUUCUAGUAACCCAACUUAGCACGUGGUGACUCGGGCCGUCACCCCGUGGCGGCGCAUGCGAUGGCGAGUAGGGAAACCCAAGGUCUUUCCUUUGGUUUUUCGACAUGCCAAAUUUGAAUCUGCCAUUCGUUUUACCAAAGUUUGUCGUUUUAGUAGAGUUUUAACAAAUGGUCCCUAAUUGUGUUUAGGUGCGUUGGUUUGAAGUGAUCCCAUCCUUCGUAGUUCGAAUGGCUCUUCGGUAGCAUAAUAUUUGUGAGUGGACCCCUUCUCAAAUUACAUGUUUUUAUAAAAAUAUUAGGCUUGCAUUCAUGGAAGGCAUAUAUUUAUAAUUCUACAUUUCAUGAAUUAAUUAUGUUUUAUGAUAAGUUUAUGAAUUUCUAAAUUUAUGUUUUACGAAGAAUUUAUGAUUUAUUUAAUUUGUUUUUUGAAGUAUUUACGAUUUAUCAGUUUAAGGUUUAUGAAAUUUUAUGCUUAUGAAAAUCAUGUUUAUGGAAAUGCUUAUGAUUUCUGAUGAUGAUGUUUUGAGCCCUAAGCUUUGGUAUGAGAUUUUGAAUUACAUUUUAUGUGCUUAAUUAGUGGGUAAUCAUACAACAUAUACACACAACACGAGUAUGUAUACGUUUAUGGCCAUAGGACACAAUGGAGGAAUAGUGAGAUAUUUACAACAUACUCCUAACUUCACUGGCGAAACCAAUGUCGGACAGCUUCACCUUUGAGUGAUGGGACCUACCAUGUUUCUUCACUGGCGUAACCCAGUGUCGUACAACUUCACCCUCAGGUGAUGGAUAUGCAUUCGAGCAACUACGAUGCCCCUAUAUAAGUACAUUAGUAUUUUGAUUUACGAGCUCUUUUAGUUUUGUCUUUGGGCGAUUUCAAUACCACUUUUAGAUAUGAUUUUAUUAUCUAUGAACGUUUUCGUGGCAUGUAGAGUUUCGGGAAAAACCUAUUACGUAUUAUUAUAUUGUUUUCAAAACGGGGGGUUAGUAUGUGCAAAAAGAAAACGGUUUUCUUAUUAUUACUAUUAUUAUAAACUCUGGUCCACUAACCUUUUGUUUUUGUGCCCCCUUCAGGACCUAGUGACGAGAAAUACGACUCGAGCAUCGAGGCAUUUCCCUUCUAGUGAUCUUGUUUUCUCCUCACUACGCAUGACCUUUUUAUGUAUAAUUGUAACUUUAUGUCUUUCAUUUCGCUAGCACUAUUGUUUAGUAGUAUGCUCUGGACAUAUUCAUGCAUCCUUUGUUUCGAAUUGUUAACAGUUGGAUAUUCUCCUUUUAUUAUGACUAACGUUAUAUUAUUAUCAUUUCUUUAGCGUUUGUAUAUUCUUUAUGAUUAUUGUUUCUCUUUUGACUUUUUGAUUGCAUGCUUCCUUGUGUUCAUGCAUAUUCAUAUAAUUAUGGCUUUUGUCAUGCUCGAGUAUCGGUCAAUACAUGUCAUGCAUGUGUCAUUUGGAUAUCUGGGUUGUGGCGUGUCCAUCAAACCUCGGAAUGGCAGGUUGCACGAAGCUACUCUCGGAUGCCAUGUAUUUUGUUCCUUCAAGCUAGUAACUAUGUUGCAGGCUUUGAUCAAGCCCCAUGAUGGGGCUCUGAUACUAGAUGUUAGAAUAAAAAAAGGAUAGAAAAGAGCUCUUGUAAACGCAAAGUCUGAUUACACUUGUAAAUUGGGAGAAUUCUUAUUGAAUUGGAAUAACACUAAUGGCUGUUAAAUAGCCUUACAAUGAAAUAGGAAAAAAAAACAACCACCCACGAUUUUGCAUGGCCUAGAAUCCCUCCUAUACUCGAGGGACAAGAUUGUUUUUCCCUUUCUGACUUUGUCAUGCACCACGAUUCUAGGCCAUGUAAAUUAUUUUUAAAUUAUGUGCUUCUUGAGGUCGUGGAUCCUUGUUUCCCCGUUGAGUAUUUGACUUAGAGAGUUAAAAAUAGGGAUGCAAACUACUACGCCUACAAUUACGGCACCAAUACGAGAUGGCAGAGAAGCAAUAACGGAACCAUCGUUGCCAAAAAAAAAAUAGUUAACCAUACUUUGCCCGGGCCGCUUGGGCUCCACUGCUAUCAGGGCUGCACAAAAUGCCACCAACAUGCCAGCAAUGGAAUAACUAAUAAGACUCGUAGGUGUGGGUAGAUGGGUUGACAGGACAGAUAUAGGACUGGAUUCAUUAAAUAUCGCCGACACUGAGAGAGCGAAGCAAAGCGUGUUAAAAAACAUAAAUACUUUGUAAGCUCCUUCUUUUGUUAAAACUGGUGUUCCAUCGUCUUUAAACCCUCCUGGCGGGUUCAAAACGGCCGUAAAUGUAACGGUUGCAAUGACCGUCGCUACCAGAAGUUUCGAAUCAUUUCUUUUGAAG
rnacentral:lncRNA from 1 species